GUUUCUUUUCAUAUGUGCAGGAUUUGCUGUCUGAGCUGUCUAAUGUGGCUUAUGUUGACAUUCUUGAUGGAGAUGCGGAGGGUCAUGUUCGCUUCAAGAGCCCUGAAGAUGCACAGAAAGUCAUCACAGCCCAAUCAGAAUUUCAGAAAAAAUACAACUGGAAUCUUGAACUACUCUUAGGUGAUCAUGAGCAGAGGUACUGGCAGAAGAUUUUGGUGGACCGACAAGCAAAGCUAAACAGUCCAAGAGAAAAAAAGCGUGGAACAGAAAAGCUCAUUUCUAAAGCUGAGAAAAUCAUCAUUGCUCGGACGAAGGAAGCUAGCAAGCACUUCCACUUUGAUGACUAACAGUAUGAGCAAUAAUUCCUUCAACAACAAAAAAGUUAAAAGCUAUUUUAAAUGACCUUGCCAAUGAAUUGUAAAAUGUUUCUUAUGCUUGGUGUUGAUCAGACCUGUUAUCUUAUUAUAAGAAUGUUCAGUAAUGAAUGAGUUUCAAUGUGGAAUUUCCUUUCAGAAUAAAGACGUCUGUCAUAUCCACCUUUAUUAUUUUUAUAUGCUUUACAGACUUUUUUGUUUUGUUUGCAUGAGACAUUUUAAGUUGUUUACAUAUUUGGUUUGGAGUCUAGUGUAAAGAAUGUAUGUAUGCAAUAUGUAGUGUGCCAUCUUUUCUGAAUGAAACAAGCAGGAUUACAUACAUUUUGAUGGCCAUUGAAGGCUCCAAAAUCAAUCAAUAUAAUGUUUGUAUAUUGGCUUUUUAAUUACUUUUUUUUUUUUAAUAAAAUGUA